GGUUUGACCAUUUUUCUGAAAUCACUUGUGCCUCAAAUGAAUUUUUGAAAACCUGGGCAUUAUUUAAAAGGCAAAUCCCUCCCACGACGAAUAGAAGAGUCAACUUCCUCAUGUUGAACAUAGAUUGUCAGACGGACUGGACUCUGAACAGAAUCUUCCCACAUCACAACUCAGUCGGGGCUCUGUCGUCUGAAACAACAUCAUGCUUUUCCUAUUACUUUGUGUUGGAUGUGUUGCUUUGUCUGCAGGGCAAUCCUUUGCUUCAACACCUACAAUGGGACCAAGGACUACCAUGACACAGGUGACAACACCUCCAACUCUUACUACCCCUUAUGUGGACCCACCUUUUGGUACUAAACCCCUGGAAAGUGGAUUUGCAAUUCUUCAGGUUGCUGUCCAAUCUUAUCAGGAGCUAAAUGAGACCACAGUUGGUUCUUUCUUCAGUCAGAUCUACGACAUCGUUCGGGCGAAGCGACCUGAUCUGAAAUUUCGACUGACUGUGAAAACUGUCCAGAAAGUUUGAUGGCUUAUGAUCCAAGGCAUAGCAGAUUGAAGUUCUAGUGGUACAUCAUGUUCUGCAGAUGUGAACUAUUGUACUGUAUUUUCAAUGAUUUUAUGCUGUUUAAUAUCAGUCAUUAUAUUCAUGUUAAUAAUAUAUCUGAAUGUAUAAUUUCAUUGACUUACUGACUUGCUGCGCAUUCCAAUACCAUCUGGGGGAGGAGCUGUAAUUCAAGAGUUAUGUCACAACCUUUCCCACUUUCAUAGAAUCUUGUCAUCUGCUUCCAGUGUUUUCUGAUGGAUUUGAUGUUGGACUGAAUAGACCUAACUACUGUAAUCUUUUCUUUGGCUAUAAACAUGUUACAAAUACUGCAA